CGCCCUUAGAGUUUGAUCAUGGCUCAGAUUGAACGCUGGCGGCAGGCUUAACACAUUCAAGUCGAGCGGUAGGAGAGCUUGCUCUCUACGAGCGGCGGACGGGUGAGUAAUGUCUGGGAAACUGCCUGAUGGAGGGGGAUAACUACUGGAAACGGUAGCUAAUACCGCAUAACGUCGCAAGACCAAAGAGGUUCGUCUUGCCAUCAGAUGUGCCCAGAUGGGAUUAGCUAGUAGGUGGGGUAACGGCUCACCUAGGCGACGAUCCCUAGCUGGUCUGAGAGGAUGACCAGCCACACUGGAACUGAGACACGGUCCAGACUCCUACGGGAGGCAGCAGUGGGGAAUAUUGCACAAUGGGCGCAAGCCUGAUGCAGCCAUACCGCGUGUAUGAAGAAGGCCUUCGGGUUGUAAAGUACCUUCAGCGAGGAGGAAGGCAUUAAGUAAUCUUGGUGAUUGACGUUACUCGCAGAAGAAGCACCGGCUAACUCCGUGCCAGCAGCCGCGGUAAUACGGAGGGUGCAAGCGUUAAUCGGAAUUACGGGCGUAAAGCGCACGCAGGCGGUUUUGUAAGUC
rnacentral:rRNA from 1 species